UCUUCAGCCUGGGAGCUGUGGGGAGAGCUGGACCAGAACCGGGCAGAAGGUCCUGCAGGAGGGAACCCUCCUCCCUUCAAAACUUCCACCCUGGACCUCCAUCCAAUGCCGGGAGGCUGAGGGUCCCCGAGGACUUUGCAGCCAACUCCACGACUUGUGCAGGCGAUGGCUGAGCCCAGGAAAGCACAGCAAAGCCCAGAUGCUGGACCUGGUGGUUCUGGAGCGGCUCCUGGCUCUCCUGCCCCCAGAGAUGGAGGGCUGGGUGCGGGAGUGUGGAGCAGAGACCAGCUCCCAGGCGGUGGCCCUGGCGGAAGGCUUCCUCCUGAGCCAGGCGGAGGAGUAGAAGGAGCAGCUCCAGCGGCAGUGCUGCACUGUGGAGAUCAGAGAUCCUGAGGGAAGGAAGAACCCAUCAAAUCCCCCUCAGGAGCUAUUUUUCAGGAGGAUCCCCUGGGAAGAUCCAAGUCAGGACACCUCAGGAGAGAAACAAAGAAUGAAGAUUUCUGUUUUUUAUGAGAGAGAUCAAAUAGC